rnacentral:lncRNA from 1 species
AGGUCAUGGAUAAAUCGUCAAACCUCAACAUCAGUCAUAUAAUAAAUUUAAUCAGCUUAAGUCCAUAUAUGAUUCUAUAAAAACUUUUUUUCAUCAAUCACACUGCUAUGACCAUAGACUUAAAGACUCAGUCUCUUAAAUCUUAAAGGACUACUCCCUUCUGCUAGGGUCAAUAGAUCCCAUCUUGAUGCACACCCCACUCCUAAAGUAGACCAACUAUCGUGAACAUCCACUACAAGGGCUCAUUGAGAUCCAUGUUGAUGUAUCAGUCAAACUCCAGCAGCCUCACUACGAGCAGUAGUGUU